AGGAGGUUGGAAGGAGAGGAGGUGGGUAGGAAUUGGUGGAAUUGGUACCGGUUGCCUCAAUGGCCCGUGAACAGGAUUCUGAAAUCCUGAAAGCUGUAAGCAUUGAUUGAGAACACUUGAGGAAUACCUACUACGUUCUCCUGCCUGACUGUAUUCCAGCAAUGAGAAAGUCUGGGAGCAAGCCAAAGUUAGAACUAUCAGAAUAAAGCAAGAGAUGGAAGAGACCAGCAUGUCAGAUGGACGAGUGGUUUUGCACACCAGUUUGUGAACUGGGGUUCAUCUAUGGUGAAGUUGCUACAGAUUGGCAGAGAAAUAAGAAAAAAAUAUAUAUGAUCCAAACUGCAACAUCUCUGCUGUCAACCUGCGUUCCACGAAGAUUUCUCAAUUGGUCUUCGGACUUAAACUGGAUGAUACCAUUACUGGCAUUCUUGGUUCUCCAGUUUGCAGACAGAAGAUUGUGGAACUUUAUGGCUUCUAUAAUCACAUAAGGUCAUGAGGGUAUAGAAGAUUGCAGUGCACACCAAGGGCAUGCAGAAAUAGAACCCGAAGAGCCACCAGUCUUUCACAUCCUGGUUCACAGACCCUUGAAUUCUAUCCUAAGGAAUAGCUAGAUUGCUUAUUCGCACUGUCCAUGUUCAGACAGCCUCCUGCUGUAUACCUUGCUUUUCACUAUGGACAUUGACUUAAUAAAAAAGACUGGCAGCGUGAUGUCCAGUAAAAGCUAAAAGGAAUGGAGACAGGAUGUCUAUAUCCCGAGGCUGUCAUCGGAAACCUGAGGACUGGAGAAUUACUACAUCCUCUGCCUUGUCGUCUGUGAGUGUGGGGAGCCUGGACCAGGGCUGAUCUGCCAACACCCAGGGGAGUCUUUUCCCAUGACCUCACCUUGUACCCUGUCUUGUGAUAUGCCAAAAUAAAAGUAUAAAUUACA